rnacentral:rRNA from 1 species
CCAAUCGAACUCGGAGAUAGCUGGUUCUCCUCGAAAUAGCUUUAGGGCUAGCGUCGUGUUAGUAGCACAUGGGGGUAGAGCUCUGUAAAGGACUGGGGCGGGCAACUGUACCCACCCUUAACAAACUACGAAUACCAUGUGUGUAAUCACGGCAGUUAGAACAUCGGUGCUAAGAUCGGUGCUCAAAAGGGAAACAGCCCAGACCAUCAUCUAAGGUCCCUAAAUUAACGUUCAGUGGGAAACAAGGUGAGAUUUCUUAAACAGCUAGGAUGUUGGCUUAGAAGCAGCCAUUCAUUUAAAGAGUGCGUAACAGCUCACUAGUCAAGAGAUCUUGCGUGGAAAAUGUAACGGGGCUAAAACGUUAUACCGAAGAUAUGGAUUACACGCUAAGUACAAAGUUAAAGUUGUGUUACAAUCAAUUUAUGGAAAAUGAGAUUUACAUAGGUAGCGUUUAUAAACACUAUAAAGGCAAUAAGUAUGUUGUUGUAAGUAUAGCUGUUCAUACUGAGACGCUUGAAGAGCUUGUAGUUUAUCGAGCCAUUUAUGGCGACGGAGAAUUAUGGGCUAGACCUAAGAAAAUGUUUUUGGAUAAUAUUGAAAAGAACGGAAAGAUCAUCCCAAGGUUUAAAUUGAUUAAGAAACUUUGAUUUUGUUCUUAGUGUGUAGUGGUAGAGGAGCGUUCCUAUCAGCAGUGAAGUCGAAUCGGAAGGUUCGGUGGAGCGGUAGGAAGUGAGAAUGCUGGAAUGAGUAACCAUAAGAGAGGUGAGAAUCCUCUCGGCCGUAAGAGCAAGGUUUCCUGAGCCAUGGUAAUCAUCUCAGGGUUAGUCGGGCCUAAGCCGAGGCGCAGAGCGUAGGCGAUGGACAUCAGGUUAAUAUUCCUGAACCGGUUAAGUUUUGUACACUGUUCACGGGGAAGUAAUCGAAGCGGAUUCAUGGUUUAUCCGUCCAACCGAGCGGGAACGCAAAGGGAGUGAAAGUGAUUCUUCGGAGUCGCGAUUUUGGUGAAAGCCCUGGCUAGAAAAGCAGGUGUACGCGUGGACUUAGCCGCCCGUACCGCAAACCAACACAGGUGCUCGAGUCGAGUAGACUCAGGCUUACGAGCGAACCUUCGCUAAGGAACUCGGCAAUACAGCGACCGUAACUUCGGGAUAAGGUCUGCCCCCACUUCGGUGGAUAUCAGCCGCGUUCACUCAGUGAAUAUUAGGUUAAAGAGUACAUUUUUAAUCACAAAACGAAUUUUCUGAGAUAGAGCAAACGAAUUGUUCUUUUGAACGCGAACCUCUGGCAUCUAACGAUGUGGGGGCCGCAGCAAAAGAGCCCACGGAACUGUUUAUCAAAAACACAGGUCUCUGCUAACACGAAAGUGGAUGUAUAGGGGCUGACUCCUGCCCAAUGCUGGAAGGUUAAGGGGAGCGCUUCACGGUGCGAACUGAAGCCCUAGUCAAUGGCGGCGGUAACUAUAACCGUCCUAAGGUAGCGAAAUUCCUUGUCAGGUAAGUUCUGACCCGCACGAAUGGAGUAAUCAUGUGGGCACUGUCUCAGCGAAGGACUCGGUGAAAGUGCAUUGGCGGUAAAGAUGCCGUCUGUCCGUACCAGGACGAAAAGACCCCAUGGAGCUUUACUACAGCUUUACAUUGAAUAUGGUUUCAACAUGUGUAGCAUAGGUGGGAGACUUUGAAGCAGAUACGCCAGUAUUUGUGGAGUCACCAAGUGAAAUACCACCCUUGUUGUAAUUGUGUUCUCACGCUGACCGUUAUCCGGUUAGCGGACCGUGUAUGGUGGGUAGUUUAACUGGGGCGGUUGCCUCCUAAAGAGUAGCGGAGGCGUUCAAAGGU